GCUCCGGUAGCUCAUCCGGUAGAGCGCAUGCCACAUAAGGCUGAGGCCUUACCGCAGCGGCCGGCUUCGAAUCCGGCCUGGGCC